UACGUAGGGGGCGAGCGUUGUCCGGAUUUACUGGGCGUAAAGGGUGAGUAGGCGGUUAUAUAUGUCAGGUGUAAAAAGCUAUGGCUUAACCAUAGUAAGCACUUGAAACUGUAUGACUUGAGUGCAGGAGAGGUAAGCGGAAUUCCUAGUGUAGCGGUGAAAUGCGUAGAUAUUAGGAGGAACACCGGUGGCGAAGGCGGCUUACUGGACUGUAACUGACGCUGAGUCACGAAAGCGUGGGUAGCAAACAGGAUUAGAUACCCGUGUAGUCCCU
rnacentral:rRNA from 1 species